rnacentral:rRNA from 1 species
CCUACGGGUGGCAGCAGUGAGGAAUAUUGGUCAAUGGGCGCAAGCCUGAACCAGCCAAGUCGCGUGAGGGAUGACGGUCCUAUGGAUUGUAAACCUCUUUUGUCGGGGAGCAAGGCCCGCCACGUGUGGCGGGAAGGAGAGUACCCGAAGAAAAAGCAUCGGCUAACACCGUGCCAGCAGCCGCGGUAAUACGGAGGAUGCGAGCGUUAUCCGGUGUUCUUGGGUUUAAAGGGUGCGUAGGCGGAAGGUUAAGUCAGCGGUAAAAUGUCGGUGCUCAACACCGGCCUGCCGUUGAAACUGGUCUUCUUGAGUGAGCGAGAAGUAUGCGGAAUGCGUGGUGUAGCGGUGAAAUGCAUAGAUAUCACGCAGAACUCCGAUUGCGAAGGCAGCAUACCGGCGCUCAACUGACGCUGAGGCACGAAAGCGUGGGGAUCGAACAGGAUUAGAUACCCGAGUAGUC